GCCCAGGUGGUGGAAUUGGUAGACACGUUGGACUUAAAAUCCAAUGAGCAUUGCGCUCGUGCGGGUUCAAGUCCCGCCCCGGGUA
rnacentral:tRNA from 1 species